rnacentral:lncRNA from 1 species
ACACGUUCUACACGGGAACGACGUCCGCCAAUCUCUCCGGUGGUGAUGCUCGCCAUAGAUGUGUUUGGUUACGGUGCGGGCUAGGUUGAGGCGGCCCGAUCUUAUCUUUUUUGGCAUUUGGUUCGCUAGAUAGACUUGAGCGGAGCGGCCCCGUGUGGGAUUUCUUUCUAAAAUUCUGGUCCGAUUCGCCUGUCCGAAAUUGCGGAAUCACGCGGCCCCGGACGUUUCGUCCGGCCCCCGGC